ACUCAAAGGAAUUGACGGGGGCCCGCACAAGCAGUGGAGUAUGUGGUUUAAUUCGAAGCAACGCGAAGAACCUUACCAGGGCUUGACAUACCGAUGACCGGGUUAGAGAUAACCCUUCCCUUCGGGGCAUCGGAUACAGGUGGUGCAUGGUUGUCGUCAGCUCGUGUCGUGAGAUGUUGGGUUAAGUCCCGCAACGAGCGCAACCCCUGUUGUUAGUUGCCAUCAUUAAGUUGGGCACUCUAACAAGACUGCCGGUGACAAAUCGGAGGAAGGUGGGGAUGACGUCAAAUCAUCAUGCCCCUUAUGUCCUGGGCUACACACGUACUACAAUGGCGAUUACAGAGGGCAGCGAAACCGCGAGGUGGAGCAAAUCCCUAAAGGUCGCCCCAGUUCAGAUUGCAGGCUGAAACUCGCCUGCAUGAAGUAGGAAUUGCUAGUAAUGGCAGGUCAGCAUACUGCCGUGAAUACGUUCCCGGGCCUUGUACACACCGCCCGU
rnacentral:rRNA from 1 species